GAUGAAGAACGUAGCGAAAUGCGAUAAGUAAUGUGAAUUGCAGAAUUCAGUGAAUCAUCGAAUCUUUGAACGCACCUUGCGCUCUUUGGCCAUUCCAAGGAGCAUGCCUGUUUGAGUGUCAUUGAAUCCUCAAGGGCCCCCUUUCUUCCGAGGGGGGGGGACUUUGGACUUGGGAGCGCUGCGGCCGCCGGGCUUUCCUCCGGCUCCGCUCUCCUCAAACGCAUCAGUAGGGCCCCUCAUCCCUUCGGGUCUUUUGCGGCGUUGAUAGUCGUCUACGCCUCUGCCCCGUCGGGUCUCACCUGCUCCUCAACCCCACAUUCUCCUUUGAACGCUUUGACCUCAAAUCAGGUAGGACUACCCGCUGAACUUAAGCAUAUCAAUAAGCGGAGGA
rnacentral:misc_RNA from 1 species